CUACGGGCCGCUCCAGUGGGGAAUAUUGCACAAUGGAGGAAACUCUGAUGCAGCAACGCCGCGUGGAGGAUGACACAUUUCGGUGCGUAAACUCCUUUUAUAUGAGAAGAUAAUGACGGUAUCAUAUGAAUAAGCUCCGGCUAACUCCGUGCCAGCAGCCGCGGUAAUACGGGGGGAGCAAGCGUUAAUCGGAAUCACUGGGCGUAAAGAGCAUGUAGGCUGAUAGAUAAGUUGGAAGUGAAAUCCUAUGGCUUAACCAUAGAACUGCUUCCAAAACUGUCUGUCUAGAAUAUGGGAGAGGUAGAUGGAAUUUCUGGUGUAGGGGUAAAAUCCGUAGAGAUCAGAAGGAAUACCGAUUGCGAAGGCGAUCUACUGGAACAUAAUUGACGCUGAGAUGCGAAAGCGUGGGGAGCAAACAGGAUUAGAUACCCGCGUAGUC
rnacentral:rRNA from 1 species